CCUACGGGCGGCUGCAGUGGGGAAUAUUGGACAAUGGGCGAAAGCCUGAUCCAGCCAUGCCGCGUGUGUGAAGAAGGCCUUCGGGUUGUAAAGCACUUUCAGUGGGGAAGAAAGCCUUGGGGCUAAUACCCUCGAGGAAGGACAUCACCCACAGAAGAAGCACCGGCUAACUCCGUGCCAGCAGCCGCGGUAAUAUGGAGGGUGCGAGCGUUAAUCGGAAUUACUGGGCGUAAAGCGCGCGUAGGCGGUCUGAUAAGCCGGUUGUGAAAGCCCCGGGCUCAACCUGGGAACGGCAUCCGGAACUGUCAGGCUAGAGUGCAGGAGAGGAAGGUAGAAUUCCCGGUGUAGCGGUGAAAUGCGUAGAGAUCGGGAGGAAUACCAGUGGCGAAGGCGGCCUUCUGGACUGACACUGACGCUGAGGUGCGAAAGCGUGGGUAGCAAACAGGAUUAGAUACCCUGGUAGUC
rnacentral:rRNA from 1 species